GACGAACGCUGGCGGCGUGCCUAAUACAUGCAAGUCGAGCGGACUUGAUGGAGUGCUUGCACUCUUGAUGGUUAGCGGCGGACGGGUGAGUAACACGUAGGUAACCUGCCUAUAAGACUGGGAUAACAUUCGGAAACGGAUGCUAAUACCGGAUACGCGAUUUGGCCGCAUGGCCGAAUCGGGAAAGACGGAGCAAUCUGUCACUUAUAGAUGGACCUGCGGCGCAUUAGCUAGUUGGUGAGGUAACGGCUCACCAAGGCGACGAUGCGUAGCCGACCUGAGAGGGUGAUCGGCCACACUGGGACUGAGACACGGCCCAGACUCCUACGGGUGGCAG
rnacentral:rRNA from 1 species